CGAUCUUGAGAAACAUCAGCAAUGCCGAGGUAGAAUCGAAGCUGGAAGCCGUGAGAGGACUGUGGCAGCGGUUUGUGUACCGUGAUGCGAUCUUGCUAGAGGCAAGGAGGCAAACGAAGGAUUGGAAUCACUACCAGGAUUGGGCUCAGCAAUACGAGACGUUGCUCGAAGACGAUGUCUUUGCAACAGUGAUACAAGCAUUGCAUUACAAGCUUCACAACGAUCCAUGGCGAGCAAAGCUCCCGAAAAGAGAGUGGGGAAUCCCACCAAGUUGCGGUAUCAAUCGCGCGUGACAAACUUUUUUUGUUCUCUCAGAGAAGACCCAAAGAAGGAAUUUUUACAUGACACGUUUUUAGGGCUUCUAUGUUCUUCGAUCUUAAUGUUUACGGUGAUGGCAGCCGAGGCGGGGAGCGCUGGCAGCUGGGAUACACCGGCGUCGAAAUUCCUCACAUUGUCAAGGCCGUGAUGCGCGAGGAGUGCCGACUCGCGGCAUUGCCUGAGUCUCCAACAAGAUCCCAUUCCGGCAGUACUCGAGAAUCAGAGUCGUGGUCGUGGAUCAAGUGCGAGCUGGCGGCUCUCAAUCCUUCCAAUCCCGUGAUUCAAUUUUAUGAUAUGGUUGCUGUCCAGCCGAUGAACCAGCAAGCGUUUGCUCAAGCUUGCACGACCAUGGAGCUUGAAGAAGUUGUCUUUGAGGAUCAAAUCUUCUCCCUUGACAUAUAGCCUUUCUUAGUCAAUCUAUACCUGGAAUAUUCAAUUAUACUCAAUCAAGGUUUAA